rnacentral:rRNA from 1 species
AUGCACGCUGGCGGCGUGCCUAAUACAUGCAAGUCGAGCGAACGGACGAGAAGCUUGCUUCUCUGAUGUUAGCGGCGGACGGGUGAGUAACACGUGGAUAACCUACCUAUAAGACUGGGAUAACUUCGGGAAACCGGAGCUAAUACCGGAUAAUAUUUUGAACCGCGUGGUUCAAAAGUGAAAGACGGUCUUGCUGUCACUUAUAGAUGGAUCCGCGCUGCAUUAGCUAGUUGGUAAGGUAACGGCUUACCAAGGCAACGAUGCAUAGCCGACCUGAGAGGGUGAUCGGCCACACUGGAACUGAGACACGGUCCAGACUCCUACGGGAGGCAGCAGUAGGGAAUCUUCCGCAAUGGGCGAAAGCCUGACGGAGCAACGCCGCGUGAGUGAUGAAGGUCUUCGGAUCGUAAAACUCUGUUAUUAGGGAAGAACAUAUGUGUAAGUAACUGUGCACAUCUUGACGGUACCUAAUCAGAAAGCCACGGCUAACUACGUG